GGUGGGAGGCCAUGGCGGCUCCCGGUGUCUGAGAUCACUGGCUGCUGCUUAGGCAGAGGCUGGACGGCCAGGUGGGACUGUCACCUCCUUGGUCACAGCCCCUCCCAGGAUAGCCUCUCAGCUGGAGGCAGGGCUGUGCUGCCGGGUGUGGACCCCGCAGAUGGGUGACUGGCACAGACCCCCUUCCACACAGACCCGGGCUUGCUGUGUUUUCUCUUGGGGGAGGAAACAGUGCCCUCUGCCGGACUCUUCAGGGAUUGCAGGUGCCCCCGACCCAGAAAGCAGCUUCCUCCCGGAUCAGCCCAGAAGCAGGACAGCCAGGGGCCGGGCAGGCGUGGAUCUGGGCAGUGAAGGCGUGUGUGAGCCACAGGCACUGUAUGACCUAUGGGAUGGCAGCGGAGCCAGGAUCAGAGGAUCCCAGAGGGCCUCUGGAAGGCAGAGUGCAGUGACCCUGCAGGAAGUUUGGACAGGAGGACCAGACCCGGCCCUGGCUCCUACUCUACUCCAACCCCAGGCACGCACUGAGCCCUGGCCCCGUCCCCUGUGGACCGUAUGGAGGGUGAGACCAUGGGAUGGGUGCCCGCAGUGCCCUCUAGGAUGCUGUCCCCCUACACGGCACCAUGGUGCUACCUCCUCCAGCAUCACGAUUCUGCCUCACCAGCACCACAGCCUUGCCUCCAGGGCCAUGGCCCCAGACAGUGGCCACUGCCUCACUGGCUGUGAGUGUGUGCGGGGCCUCCUUCAUCACACUCGGAGAAGAGGGACCCUGGGCUUCACCGGAUGAAACUGGCAAGGGGUGGGGUGGGCAGACCACUAGAGCGAUGACCCUCACUGUACCUCAUUCCUGCGGUGCCCCCCGACAAGCCUCUGAGGGGAGGCCCCAUCCUUGCCAUUUUCCGUGAGGAGCCUGAGUGAGCAAGGGGCGGAGGCGACCCUGACCCCAGAGUGAGAUGGCUGUGUCUCCCCGCCCUCCCUGCACUCCCCUUUCGCUCUCAGUCCCCUGGGGCAUUUGCCCUGGGGCCACCAGGGGAGAAGGGUCCGGCCCUCAGACUGUCCAGAAACACCUGGAGGGGUGGGGCCCUGCCACCUGCCCCUUGCCCACACAGCGCAGGGCUGUUGCCUGUGCACCUGACAGCUCCAGAGCUCCCGCGGCCCUGGACGAGCUCUGUCCAAGGUGCUGAAGGAGAAGCGCUGAGCCCUAGGCGGUUUUGCUGCUCACUGAUGUCCCCGCAAGGGCCAGGAAGGGUCAGGAACGACUUGGGUCUGAGGAAGUCGACCUGGGCCCCCCGGGGAGCUGUCGUGUGUGUGUGUCCCAGUCGACAACGAGUGAGGAACUGAGGCCUCUGCCAGACGCUGUGUGACUAAGCUUAGAAGCAGACGCCUCCUCAGUGGAACCCUCAGAUGACCCAGCCCAGCUGGCACCUCCACUGUAGCUCAGAGCCACCCUGAGCUCAGCCCCUUAUGAGUUCCUGAUUAAAGAAACCAAGAGAGAG
rnacentral:lncRNA from 10 species